CGGACAGCGCUGGCUCCCGGCCUAUAGAGUGAGAUGAGCGCACAACCCUAGAGUCUGGCAAGACUGACCCGUAGGGGCAAGGGUACCUUUAAUCUAAGUAAAAAUGUACAGAUUAGUUGUUGUUUUAGAAGUUUUCUUGACUCUUUUGUACUGUAUAUGACUCUCCCCCCCCCCCCCCCGCCGCCACUCUUUCAGUGCACAUUUAUGUGUGGAAUGGAGAUUGUUGCAUGGAGCAUCGUUCUUCCAGUGUAUGUUUUCUUGGAGAUAAAUCUAUUGAGUUCAUACAGGACUUAUAAAUAAAUGCAUGUUGGUAUGCAGUCUUAAGUCUUUCAGGCUCCUGUGCAAACAUGUGAUCAUCAAGUGAGAUCAUGGGCUGAUUGGGUGGACCAGUUUGAUCACAGUUCUGGACCACGUGCACAUCACGAACAUCUGCAUAAAGCCUUCCUUAGAUGUGACAGCAUAUAGAGGACUUACGCCUGAUUUGCUCCCUCGAUUUGUAUGUUGUCCUAAUGCAAGUUAACCAGAACAUCCACCGAAGCGUGAAUAUAUGCCAAGGACAUGCUGUUGGUAUUGGACGAACUUCUCACUGAAACUGGAAGACAACCACUGAGCAAAUGAUGUCCCACAUUUAAGUAAGAAGCCACUUCUUUGCACAAAUAUCCCGGCACCAAUUCAAAUGCUUUGCAGCUGAUUGGCAUUCCAUUUUCUCUUUGUUGUUUUACAAUGGAAAGUACACACUCAUCAACCUCAUAACAUCGACCACAUUUAAGCCCUCGAAAUGCUUUUUGCAUGGAGAUGGGAUUCUGAAUUUUUUCUUCUUUGAUCUCCAAUGACGCACAUUCUUUUUAUCAGCACUAUAUUUCCUUCCUGUUUCUCUAUUGUUUGUCGCUUCAGCAUAGUUAAUAACUGCCAUUUUGAAAUUUGUCACGUCUCAGCCCCCAACUGAUAGAUGUUUUCCCCUGACAUGGACACCCAUAUUUUUACUGUCUAAAAACACAUGCUACCUCACACGAUGAAUAACUUACCAGGCAACUAGUGCCACCUGUCAAGAAUGAUGGGUGAUGCUUUUACAAAAACAACCAAAGUAUAUCAAAGUUCUGCAUGGUUUCUGAGUCCUCAUCUUACAUUAAAGUUUCUCUACCUUUACUUUAGGCCACACUUAGGCUUAUACAAGCCAGAUUUUUGGGGGGGGGGAAUGCAGCCUGUACAACAACUUCGGGAGAAUAAUUUAGAGUAUUAAAUAUAUUUUCUUAAGUACAUUUCAGCUAUAGAUUCACAUGUAUGCUUGUGUUUGUGCAUACUGUAUGUGUCUUGCUCUGUUUUGUUUUUACUUUUGCACUGGUUUUAUUAGUUCCAUUUUUAAAAUGGACUUUAAAAUGGCAUUUUGAGUCACCUUGAGACACGCUAUAGCUGUAAUGAUUACUGUCAAAGUAUGUCUUGGUUGUGCCAGGUUCAAAUCCCUACUCAGCCAUGAAUUCACUAGGUGACCUUGGGCCAGAUGCCAUCUGCCUAUCCCCCCUCACAGGGUUGUUGUGGCUUGUUUCACAUGAUAGUUGUGAAGGAGAACAAUGUACACUGCCCUGAGCCCCUUGGAGAAGGGAAGGAUAAAAACGUAAUUAAAUGCAUGCACAAGAUGAACAACAGUGGACAACAUACCAUAGGUUUUUUGAGUUUGAAAUGAAGGGCUUGCAUUUUUUCUCCUCUCAUAAUAAGGUUACCAGAUUUUUUUUCAGUGAAUCCGGGGACACUUUUCAACUUCCUGCUAAAUAGAUGGAUUUUGUCAGGGAACUGAUUUAUAAACCUUGGGACUGUCCCUGGGAAACAGGGACAUCUGGUAGCCUUAUCUCAUAAACCAACUGAAACGAACAUACAAGUCACUGGAAGGCAGCUCAUACAGUCAAGAAUCAUCACUUGUAGUGUGAAAGCUUUCAGAACCUCAGGUAUUAAAUUAUUAUACUAUCUUGAAGCUUUCCCUAGUAUAAUGCUUUGAGGAUUAAGUGCAUUUCUGGGGAGUCUUCAAUCUUGUAGAUGCAGUAUGCCUUAUUCCUUGAAAUAUAACAGCUUUGAUUACUUCCAGAAAGCUGCAGUUACCUAUAAUUUGAAGAGGGAAAAGAGUUUACUAUGGAUAACUACUAUAGCUUUUCUGUUUCCGAUGGCAUUGACCUAGUAGGGGACAGAUAACAGCUGUCUUGGGGUAGAACUAAUAUAUUCUGGGAUAAAAGCUGAAAAAAUAUAUGCUAUGUUCAUAGUCUUUUCUAAAAUGCAGCAGAUUAGACUAUUCACAAAUCAGCAACUCUGGAUUAGUCUCUUGAAUUGUUAAAAAAAAAACAGCAGCAGCAGCACACCUUUGGGUGCAAUUUUCAUGAUUGCGUGUGCCAAAUUUCUGUGGAUUUUAUCUCCCCAUCUGCAGUUCUGUUAGCUGAACUAUCAAGUUUACUUUUUUAUGCUCAAGAGAUUAAAAGUGAUUUGAAGUUCAGUGCUGAGGGUUGCACUCAUGAAAAUGGAUGUUAAAAUCAUAUUGUACAUUAUUGCCUCUUGCACCCCUUUAAAUCCAGAAUGUUUCUUUUUCACAAACUCAGGUGCCCAGUGUCUAGAUAUGUGGUGUCAUCUUAGUUGUGUUUUGUCCUGUAGAGCUUUAAAAGUCUAAGCAGCUGCCCCCCCCCAUUCACAAGAAAUGGUCCCCCCCACCAUAACAUUUGCUUGACUGUAAUUGAAUUUAAUUAGUACAGUCCACUUUUAAUUUCUUUACAGUGAAGCCUGCUGGCUCACUCUAAAUAUGGUGGGUGUGGGGUGAAAUGAGAAACACAAGACUCACAGCUGUUUUUGUCAGAAUUAUUUAAUGUCAAUGAAAUGGUUUAGAAUAGAAGAUACCUUGUUUUGUGACAAAAUAGAACUUGGUGCAUAACUAUCCUGACCUUUGCCUCAUUUAUUUGCGGAGAAAUAGUGCCAACCAUUCUCUUUUCCACAAUGAUAGCAAAUCAUUCCCAGUUAACAGUGUGAAGGACUAGCAAAGUCCGGUGGAUUCCAAAAUGGCUUCCUACGCCAAACCCAUUGGCUGCUUUUCAGUACUACCUUGCUUUGUAGCAGAAAUCACAAUUCCAGAUUUCCAUUUAUAGGUUCUUCUGUGUAAUAAACAAAGGGCUGAAACUGCCGAAACUACCUGAAAGGUCGGACAUCGGUGAUUUGAUCUUUUGUCUCUUUAAACUUGCCUAAAAAGCAGUCAAUGGGAACUCUAAUCUAGAUUGGGGCUACUGUUUGGGGGAGGAGAGUUAAUUCUCUCCUCAGCUGCUGUUUGUCCUGUUAAAGCAAAGUUCUGUUCAGACACCAGGUAAGUAAUGCAGAUACCGAAACACAGGUGUAAAGUAUUCCUAGCAAACUACCUUCUCAAAAUGUCUCCUAAUACUGUAGUGUUCAAGGGCAGUUCUACACUAAGAAUUCUAUGUUAAGUUUUAGACAGAUCUAGGUUAAGUUUUUGUGAUAACUAGGUUUCAGUGUUGUGUUGCAUCAAGUAUGACCUACACAUAUAACUUUUAUUAUCACCACUAUACACUAUAAGCAAACUUUUUUUUAUCUCUAGCGCUUACAGCGAUAAGUAAACAUGCAGAUGUCAUUAGCAUUUCAGGGUUAGAAUGCUUUUUGCUUUGUUCGUAUCAAUUGCUGUAUAAUACUAAAUUUCUAGAAUGCUGCCCAUGCUUCAGUGAGUUUGCUAAUCCCUCUUUUUCAUUAAAUCAGUAUUAGCAGAGACAAUGGUGUGUCCUAUCGUCUUCUCUUUUCCACAUUGCAGUAAGAUAAGA